GAUGAACGCUGGCGGCGUGCCUAAUACAUGCAAGUCGAGCGAACAGACGAGGAGCUUACUCCUCUGACGUUAGCGGCGGACGGGUGAGUAACACGUGGAUAACCUACCUAUAAGACUGGGAUAACUUCGGGAAACCGGAGCUAAUACCGGAUAACAUGUUGAACCGCAUGGUUUAACAGUGAAAGACGGUCUUGCUGUCACUUAUAGAUGGAUCCGCGCCGCAUUAGCUAGUUGGUAAGGUAACGGCUUACCAAGGCAACGAUGCGUAGCCGACCUGAGAGGGUGAUCGGCCACACUGGAACUGAGACACGGUCCAGACUCCUACGGGAGGCAGCAGUAGGGAAUCUUCCGCAAUGGGCGAAAGCCUGACGGAGCAACGCCGCGUGAGUGAAGAAGGUCUUCGGAUCGUAAAACUCUGUUAUUAGGGAAGAACAAAUGUGUAAGUAACUAUGCACGUCUUGACGGUACCUAAUCAGAAAGCCACGGCUAACUACGUG
rnacentral:rRNA from 1 species